CGCCCACUAGCUAGCUCGCCCAACAUCAUAACAUUUAUAUAUAAAUAC
rnacentral:rRNA from 1 species